GACAGAGGUGCCAAGCGUUAGGCGGAAUCACUGGGCUUAAAGCGUGUGUAGGCGGAUAUCUAAGUACCUUGUGAAAUCCCACGGCUCAACCGUGGAACUGCUUGGUAUACUGGGUGUCUUGAGCCAUCUAGGGGCUACCGGAACAAAUGGUGGAGCGGUGAAAUGCGUAGAUAUCGAGAGGAACACCAGAGGUGAAGACGGGUUGCUGGGCCGACACUGACGCUGACAGCGCGAAAGCCAGGGGAGCAAACGGG
rnacentral:rRNA from 1 species